rnacentral:rRNA from 1 species
GCAAGUCUGGUGCCAGCAGCCGCGGUAAUUCCAGCUCCAAUAGCGUAUAUUAAAGUUGUUGCAGUUAAAAAGCUCGUAGUUGAACCUUGGGCCUGGCUGACCGGUCCGCCUCACCGCGUGCACUGGUUCGGCCGGGCCUUUCCUUCUGGGGAGCCGCAUGCCCUUCACUGGGUGUGUCGGGGAACCAGGACUUUUACUUUGAAAAAAUUAGAGUGUUCAAAGCAGGCCUAUGCUCGAAUACAUUAGCAUGGAAUAAUAGAAUAGGACGUGUGGUUCUAUUUUGUUGGUUUCUAGGACCGCCGUAGUGAUUAAUAGGGAUAGUCGGGGGCAUCAGUAUUCAAUUGUCAGAGGUGAAAUUCUUGGAUUUAUUGAAGACUAACUACUGCGAAAGCAUUUGCCAAGGAUGUUUUCAUUAAUCAGUGAACGAAAGUUAGGGGAUCGAAGACGACCAGAUACCGUCGUAGUCUUAACCAUAAACUAUGCCGACUAGGGAUCGGGCGAUGUUAUCUUUUUGACUCGCUCGGCACCUCACGAGAAAUCAAAGUUUUUGGGUUCUGGGGGGAGUAUGGUCGCAAGGCUGAAACUUAAAGGAAUUGACGGAAG